UCAUAAGUUUGACGAUAAGAGGAACCACUUAAAUAAGGUGGUGUCACAAAAUCGGAGGCCCCGACUGUUUACUAAAAACACAAUUCAGAGCAAUGAUGAAAAUCAUAGUAUUCUGGAUGAAAUUUGCCCGAUGCCAUUAACAUAAAAAAGGUAAUGGGAAACUGUUACUAAUUGAAAGUCUGGUUAAUAGCGGUCUUAACUAUGAGGAUCCUAAGGUAGCAAAAUCAGUUGGCCAUUAAAUGUGGUCUGGUAUCAAUAGUGUAACGAUGGUCUCACUGUCUCUACAACUUGCUCAGUGAAAUUGAAUUAUCCGUGCAGAUGCGGAUUGCCUCCAGGUGGACGGG
rnacentral:rRNA from 1 species